CUAUGAUUUUUCUGCGUUUUCCACUUUUACCCUCGCGUCGGCACUCACUGGCCCCUCACUCGUUGCUCUAUCUUCUCCCCGUCGCCUCUCUCUUCUCGCCAACCUCGCCGGCAACCACCUCGCCCACCUCGCCGGCCACCACCUUUUCCACCUCGCCGGCCACCAUCUCUCCCCGUCGCCGCCAUCUUUCUCCCGCCUCCACUCGCACCCCACUCCACUCAUACCCCACAUCCGAGGUCAAAGCUUGGAUUUUUGCUCCGGCGGCGAGCUUCUGGGUGACGGAGGCGCUGGACCCGCGUGCGCCACCGCUUGAUCUGCGUGCACCUGCUCUGGAUCUGGCGACGGAGGCGAUGGGUGCGAUGCAGAGGCGAGCUUCUGGGCGACGGAGCGUUGUUGGUUGGCGACGACGCACUUGACACAGUUGGCCGUUGCUGCCAGGAAGAAGAAGGGCAAAGGGGAUGGCCGCCGACGCCGCGUACGCGAAGCUGGUGCUGCUCGCCUGCGACGGCGGUGGUGACGCCGUCUCGCGGGGGGGUCGCCGUCGGCCUCACCAGGCACGACAGCAGGAUGGUCCUGGUGGGCGACGAGGGCGCCCUGGCCGCGACAGCGGAGGAGGCGCGGCGCAGCGCGGCCGUCGCGGUGGUUGACUACAAGAAGGCCAUCGGCAAGAUGAGCGUCUUGAGCAAUGAGGAGCUGGUGCGGCGUUCGUGCGGGGCUGGUGCACGAGGGAGGAGCCAGCUGCACUCGCCUCUUCUUCUUCCUCGGAGGGUGCAGGACAUGUUCCUCGCCCACACGGCAGGCUAGCUCCAUGAUUCACCGAACUAUUGUACCUAAAAGCAUCGACAAAUUCUCCCAAUUCUGCAUCUGGCGAAAACUGAUAAGAAUUGGGAGCAGCGAGGAGUACCUGGCGAGGACCAGGCGGGGGAGCAGCGAGGACCGGGCGGGGGAGCAGUAAGGAUCAGGCUGGUCAGUGCGGUUGAGAGGACCAGGUUGGUGCAGCGAGGACUAGAUUGGGAGGUGCGCUGGCGGCGGCCAGGCUGGGGCGGCGGCGAUCAAAUUGGGAGCGGUGGCCACCAAACUGGGCAAGAACGACGGGGAAGAGAGUGGCGAAGGAGGAGGAGGAGGAGGUGGUGGAGGGCGGAGGAGGAGGUGGCUGGACUAGCAGCUGGAGGAGGUGGAGGGCGCAGGUGGCCUGGCGGAGGAAGACGACGACUCGUUUUCAAAUCAAGGGUGUUUUUGUACAUUUGCUCGUUUUCACCUGGUCCGAAAAACCCCCAACGACAACUAUUUCGGAACAGAGGGACUAGUUAAUUAAUCGGGAAACAGUUCAAAAGCAAGCCAUCAUGGUGCAAGCAUGCAUGCCGUGCUGCUCUGAAGCUGCAGGCAGGCGACGCGGUCAUGGGGAUGGCAGACGACGCGGCAUGGAAAUGCCAAAGCUCAUGGCGUUGCUGGACAGGGCGGAAAGCCAAAGCCUCUGGCAUUUUCAGAAACGUGAACUAGCUCGGCGUUUCCAGCCUGCCACAUUAGCGAGUGGGGCCAGGGCAGCAACGCUAGCUGGCUCGGCGUUUCUAUGUGGGAAAGAAAAGCCACGGGCUAUGACGUUGCUAAAAGGGUCAGAUUAUGAAAUAAUUUUGCUUCAAGUUCA